rnacentral:rRNA from 1 species
CAGCCGCCACGGUAAUACGUAGGUCCCGAGCGUUGUCCGGAUUUAUUGGGCGUAAAGCGAGCGCAGGCGGUUAGAUAAGUCUGAAGUUAAAGGCUGUGGCUUAACCAUAGUACGCUUUGGAAACUGUUUAACUUGAGUGCAAGAGGGGAGAGUGGAAUUCCAUGUGUAGCGGUGAAACGCGUAGAUAUAUGGAGGAACACCGGUGGCGAAAGCGGCUCUCUGGCUUGUAACUGACGCUGAGGCUCGAAAGCGUGGGGAGCAAACAGGAUUAGAUACCCCAGUAGUCCCUGUCUCUUAUACA